CCCUUAGAUGUUCUGGGCCGCACGCGCGCUACACUGACGAAGUCAGCGAACAUCUCCUACGCCGAAAGGUGCGGGGAAUCUUGUGAAACUUUGUCGUGCUGGGGAUUGAUUUUUGAAAUUCUUGAUCAUCAACGAGGAAUUCCUAGUAAGCGCAAGUCAGCAGCUUGCGUUGAUUACGUCCCUGCCCUUUGUACACACCGCCCGUCGCUACUACCGAUUGAAUGGUUUAGUGAGAUUUUUGGACUGGAACUCUCUUGUUCAGCAAUGAACGAGAGGGACUCUGGGAAGCUAUUCUAACUGUAUCAUUUAGAGGAAGUAAAAGUCGUAACA
rnacentral:rRNA from 1 species